AGCGACGUGGCGCAAUGGAUAGCGUGCCGGGCUCAUAGGCACUCACCUCUACCCGGAGGUUCCUCGAUCGAGACGAGGCGUCGCUA